rnacentral:rRNA from 1 species
AGUGAACGCUGGCGGUAGGCCUAACACAUGCAAGUCGAACGGCAGCACAGUAAGAGCUUGCUCUUACGGGUGGCGAGUGGCGGACGGGUGAGGAAUACAUCGGAAUCUACUUUUUCGUGGGGGAUAACGUAGGGAAACUUACGCUAAUACCGCAUACGACCUACGGGUGAAAGCAGGGGAUCUUCAGACCUUGCGCGAUUGAAUGAGCCGAUGUCGGAUUAGCUAGUUGGCGGGGUAAAGGCCCACCAAGGCGACGAUCCGUAGCUGGUCUGAGAGGAUGAGCAGGAACAGAGGGAGUGGGACACGGCGCAAAGUACGAAGGGAGGCAGCAGUGGGGAAUCGUGCGGAAUGGGGGAAAGACUGACGCAGACAUGACGCGUGAAUGAUGAAGGUCUUAGGAAUGUAAAAUUCUUUCAACGGGGACGAUAAUGACGGUACCCGGAGAAGAAGACCCGGCUAACUUCGUG